GGGGAAGUGGCUCAGUGGUAGAGUGCUUGCCUUGCAUGCAUGAGGCCCUGGGUUUGAUUCCUCAGCACCA
rfam:Dipodomys ordii contig_13857, whole genome shotgun sequence.